GUGGGGAAUCUUAGACAAUGGGCGCAAGCCUGAUCUAGCCAUGCCGCGUGAGGGAUGAAGGCCCUAGGGUUGUAAAGCUCUUUCAGCUGGGAAGAUAAUGACGGUACCAGCAGAAGAAGCCCCGGCUAACUCCGUGCCAGCAGCCGCGGUAAUACGGAGGGGGCUAGCGUUGUUCGGAAUUACUGGGCGUAAAGCGCGCGUAGGCGGACUGAAAAGUUGGGGGUGAAAUCCCGGGGCUCAACCUCGGAACUGCCUUCAAAACUAUCAGUCUGGAGUUCGAGAGAGGUGAGUGGAAUUCCGAGUGUAGAGGUGAAAUUCGUAGAUAUUCGGAGGAACACCAGUGGCGAAGGCGGCUCACUGGCGCGAUACUGACGCUGAGGUGCGAAAGCGUGGGGAGCAAACAGGAUUAGAAACCCUGGUAGUCC
rnacentral:rRNA from 1 species